UUGAACUGCUCACUUCAGCUGCACAUAUAAUUGGAACAACACAGAGAAUAUCUAUGGCCGCUAUGCAAAGAUAACAUGUAAACUCAUGAAGUGUUCCAUAUUAAA
ensembl:snRNA Gm25720 predicted gene, 25720